rnacentral:tRNA from 1 species
GGCGGGGUAGCUCAGUUGGCCAGAGCAUGCGGCUCAUACCCGCAGUGUCGAGAGUUCGAAUCUCUCCCCCGCUACCA